UACGUAGGGUGCAAGCGUUGUCCGGAAUUAUUGGGCGUAAAGAGAACGUAGGCGGUUUGUUAAGUCUGUUCUUAAAGACCAGGGCUCAACCCUGGGAAUGGAAUGGAAACUGGCAGACUCGAGGACGUCAGAGGAAGGUGGAAUUCCCAGUGUAGCGGUGAAAUGCGUAGAUAUUGGGAGGAACACCAGUGGCGAAAGCGACCUUCUGGGACGAUCCUGACGCUGAGGUUCGAAAGCUCGGGGAG
rnacentral:rRNA from 1 species